GCAAGUUGAACGGUAACAGGUCCAGCAAUGGAUGCUGACGAGUGGCGCACGGGUGCGUAACACGUAUGCAACUUACCCUAUACAGGGACAUAACCUUUAGAAAUGGGGGCUAAUAUUCCAUGGUGUUAUUUGGUGGCAUCACUGAAUAACUAAAGAUUUACAUUGGUAUAGGAUGGGCAUGCGUCCCAUUAGUUAGUUGGUAGGGUAACGGCCUACCAAGGCGAUGAUGGGUAGGGGUCCUGAGAGGGUUAUCCCCCACACUGGUACUGAGACACGGACCAGACUCCUACGGGAGGCAGCAGUAAGGAAUAUUGGGCAAUGGGCGCAAGCCUGACCCAGCCAUGCCGCGUGCAGGAAGACGGCCUUAUGGGUUGUAAACUGCUUUUAUGCGAGGCUAAAACCCUCAACGAGCUUGGGGCUUGCAGGUAUCGCAUGAAUAAGCAUCGGCUAACUCCGUGCCAGCAGCCGCGGUAAUACGGAGGAUGCGAGCGUUAUCCGGAUUUAUUGGGUUUAAAGGGUGCGCAGGCGGAAUAUUAAGUCAGUGGUGAAAUACUCCGGCUCAACCGGGGUGCUGCCGUUGAUACUGGUAUUCUUGAGAGUAAUGGACGUGGGCGGAAUGUGUCAUGUAGCGGUGAAAUGCAUAGAGAUGACACAGAACACCGAUAGCGAAGGCAGCUCACGAUAUUACAUCUGACGCUCAUGCACGAGAGCGUGGGGAUCAAACAGGAUUAGAUACCCUGGUAGUCCACGCCGUAAACGAUGAUCACUAGCUGUAGGCGAUAUACCGAUCUGUGGCUAAGCGAAAGCGAUAAGUGAUCCACCUGGGGGAGUACGUUGGCAACGAUGAAACUCAAAGGAAUUGACGGGGGCCCGCACAAGCGGAGGAGCAUGUGGUUUAAUUCGAUGAUACGCGAGGAACCUUACCUGGACUUGAACGUAUAGUGCAUAUCUGAGAGAUCAGAUUUUCCAGCAAUGGACUUCAUACGAGGUGCUGCAUGGCUGUCGUCAGCUCGUGCC
rnacentral:rRNA from 1 species